GAUGAACGCUAGCGGCAGGCCUAACACAUGCAAGUCGAGGGGUAACUAGAGUGAUAGCAAUAUUACUUUGGCUAGACCGGCGCACGGGUGCGUAACACGUAUGCAACCUACCUUAUACUGGGGAAUAACUUCGAGAAAUCGGCGCUAAUACCCCAUAGCACUGCGGAGAGGCAUCUCUUUGCAGUUAAAGCUCCGGCGGUAUAAGAUGGGUAUGCGUCCAAUUAGCUAGUUGGUGAGGUAACGGCUCACCAAGGCUACGAUUGGUAGGGGUUCAGGGAGGAUGAUCCCCCACACUGGUACUGAGACACGGACCAGACUCCUACAGGAGGCAGCAGUGAGGAAUAUUGCGCAAUGGACGAAAGUCUGACGCAGCCAUGCCGCGUGCAGGAUGACGGCCCUAUGGGUUGUAAACUGCUUUUGUACGGGAAUAAGCCCUUCUACGUGUAGGAGGCUGACGGUACCGUAAGAAUAAGGAUCGGCUAACUCCGUGCCAGCCGCCGCGGUAA
rnacentral:rRNA from 1 species